rnacentral:rRNA from 1 species
AAUCCACACGACUCUCGGCAACGGAUAUCUCGGCUCUCGCAUCGAUGAAGAACGUAGCGAAAUGCGAUACCUGGUGUGAAUUGCAGAAUCCCGCGAACCAUCGAGUCUUUGAACGCAAGUUGCGCCCGAGGCCCUCGGGCCGAGGGCACGCCUGCCUGGGCGUC